AUGAUGAUUACAGCACAAAGGGAGAAUGCUCCCGCAGAAAACUGGCAGAGUUGCUGCUUGGUGGAGUGGCGAUCAGGCUUUGCCCCCGUUGGUCUUGGGACAGGACUUGGAGCAGACACUGAGUGCACUGAGACACUCGGUGCAGGCCCUGAGUUUGGAUCCCCAGCACCCAGCACAGCCAGGGUAGUGCCGGACUGUAAUCCCAGCGCAUCUACAGCGAGGUGGGAGACAGAGGACAGGAAAAUCCCUGGAAGCUCCCUGUCAGGCAAGCCUGGAACAAAAGAGAUCCUGCCUCAAACAAGAAAAAACACAAGUCAAGAUGUGAGGGGCUAGCUCUCAAUAAGCUGUGUGAGCGAAGUGCUCUUCAUGACACGUGCUCUUCUUGCCUGAAGAAGACACCACCAACAGGUAUGUGAACUAGGGGAAGGGAGAUG